GAACAAUACUCAAAUUGACUUAAGCAUCUAUUAAAAUGUAAUAUAAAGUACAAUAGAAAUAUGUAGUUGUAUACAAAGUGAAUGUUUAAGUUUUAUUUUUUCAGAGCCAUAUACCAUUACAACCGACCAAUUUACGCAUCCAGCUGACGAAAAGAGUGAAGACACAGUAAUUGCUACGCCUAUUGUUGCCUCUGUAGUUACCAUUGUGUGCAUUGCGAUGGUGCUCGUUAGCAUACUGAUAUAUAGAGCAUUCUUCAGGAAAGCACUACGCAGUGAACGUAGCAUGUCAAUUAAAAGUAUAGCUAGUCUACAUAAAGUCCGUCCUAGCUUCAAUAACGCUGAUAAUUCAGACAACUGUAUACUAAAUGAUUUGCCGGAUGAUAUGAGGUACACACAUCCGCCUACAAAGUGCAGUUGGACAGUUAAAUAACACUGAAGGUUUAAGGCUAUCAUUGUUUUAAUGUAUUGUGAUAUUCUUAUUUUUUAUAUUUAUUUAUAUUACCUUAAUGUUUAACAAGCGUGAUUAUAUUGAUGUUGUUAUAUAAAGAGUUAUUGUAAAUCAUACUUUUAAUAGAACUCUCUUAUUGUAAAUUGUACUAUGUGUGUGUGUGUGUGUAUGAGAGAGAGAGAGAGAGAGAGAGAGAGAGAGAGAAAAAAAAAUGGCAACAAAAUAUGAUAUUAAGUAUUAUUUAUUAUAGAUGCAACUGACAGUAGUCUCUU